GAUGAACGCUAGCUACAGGCUUAACACAUGCAAGUCGAGGGGUAGCAGGGUAGCAAUACCGCUGACGACCGGCGCACGGGUGAGUAACACGUAUCCAACCUUCCCAUAACUCGGGGAUAGCCUUUCGAAAGAAAGAUUAAUACCCGAUAGUACUUUUUCAAGGCAUCUUGAGAAAGUUAAAGAUUUAUUGGUUAUGGAUGGGGAUGCGUUCCAUUAGAUAGUUGGUGAGGUAACGGCUCACCAAGUCUUCGAUGGAUAGGGGUUCUGAGAGGAAGGGCCCCUACAUUGGUACUUGGAAACGGACCAAACGCCUACGGGAGGGAGCAGUGAGGAAUAUUGGUCAAUGGGCGAGAGCCUGAACCAGCACAGUAGCGUGAAGGAUGAAGGUCCUAUUGAUGUAAACUUCUUUUAUAGUAGAAUAAAGUUAACCACGUGUGGUUUUUUGUAUGUAUACUAUGAAUAAGGAUCGGCUAACUCCGUGCCAGCAGCCGCCGUAA
rnacentral:rRNA from 1 species